AUGGACAACUUGCUCCGGCUGCUCAAACGCGGCUUCUGGCUACAUGGUUCUGACCUCGAGAGGGUGGUCAAGCCCAAUGUCGCGUUCCUGCGGGAGUGCGGGCUACAUGAUUGCGACAUUGCCAAGCUAUGCAUCCGUGAGCCAAGGGUCCUCAGAAUCAAACAGCAGCGCCUCCAGGCGAUGGUGGCAUGCGCCAAAGCUCUCUGUGUGCCGCAUGGCUCUGGGAUGUUAGGAAAAGCGUUGCAGGCUGUCGCAUCCACUGACGAGGAGAAGAUUGCCACCAAAGUGGAUUACUUGAAGAAGACAUUAAGGUGGUCAGAUUCUGAGGUGGGCAUUGCUUUGCCCAAUAAUCCGAUGGUGCUGACCUAUUCUAAGGAGAGGCUGCAACGCUUAUCAGAGUUCCUCAUCUCCGAGGCGGGGUUGGAACCGGGGUACAUUGCUCAUCGGCCGGCAAUGCUCAAUUAUAGCCUGGAUGGUCGGCUCAGGCCCCGGUACUACGUUAUGAAGUAUCUCAAGGAAAACAGAUUGCUACAUCGCGACCGGGAUUACUAUUCUGCAGUCGCGCUGACUCCGAAGGUAUUCAUGGACAAGUUCAUAUGCCCACACAAGGAAGCUGCACCGCACCUUGCUGAAGACUAUGCAGCAGCUUGCAGAGGGGAAGUGCCAGCUAGAUUCAGAUUCACAUGA
rnacentral:rRNA from 1 species